AAGUCGUAACAAGGUUUCCGUAGGUGAACCUGCGGAAGGAUCAUUACUAGAAGUUUGGUAAAGGUUGGGUAAAGACUCCGGUAAAGGAUCUUCGUCCCGCCUACCAAUCUCCAACCCUUGUGGUUAAUGCCAUAACGUUGCUUUGGCGGGGGUUUAACGGCCCUCGCCAAAAGACAUAGCUAAACUCUUGAAUCAAUUUAAACAGUCAAGGCCUCUGGUCUUAACAACAAUCAUAAAAACUUUCAACAACGGAUCUCUUGGUUCCG
rnacentral:misc_RNA from 1 species